AUUGAACGCUGGCGGCAUGCCUUACACAUGCAAGUCGAACGGUAACGCGGGGCAACCUGGCGACGAGUGGCGAACGGGUGAGUAAUGCAUCGGAACGUGCCCAGUAGUGGGGGAUAGCCCGGCGAAAGCCGGAUUAAUACCGCAUACGACCUAUGGGUGAAAGCGGGGGACCGUAAGGCCUCGCGCUAUUGGAGCGGCCGAUGUCAGAUUAGGUUGUUGGUGGGGUAAAGGCCUACCAAGCCGACGAUCUGUAGCUGGUCUGAGAGGACGACCAGCCACACUGGGACUGAGACACGGCCCAGACUCCUACGGGUGGCAG
rnacentral:rRNA from 1 species